GACGAACGCUGGCGGCGUGCUUAACACAUGCAAGUCGAACGGAAAGGCCCUGCUUUUGUGGGGUGCUCGAGUGGCGAACGGGUGAGUAACACGUGAGUAACCUGCCCUUGACUUUGGGAUAACUUCAGGAAACUGGGGCUAAUACCGGAUAGGAGCUCCUGCUGCAUGGUGGGGGUUGGAAAGUUUCGGCGGUUGGGGAUGGACUCGCGGCUUAUCAGCUUGUUGGUGGGGUAGUGGCUUACCAAGGCUUUGACGGGUAGCCGGCCUGAGAGGGUGACCGGCCACAUUGGGACUGAGAUACGGCCCAGAAUCCUACGGGAGGCAGCAGUGGGGAAUAUUGCACAAUGGGGGGACGCCUGAUGCAGCAACGCCGCGUGCGGGAUGACGGCCUUCGGGUUGUAAACCGCUUUCGCCUGUGACGAAGCGUGAGUGACGGUAAUGGGUAAAGAAGCACCGGCUAACUACGUG
rnacentral:rRNA from 1 species